rnacentral:RNase_P_RNA from 1 species
GUGGGCAGACGGGUGAUCGCUGUGGGCAUUGCCCGCAGAGGAAAGUCCGAACUCCGCAGGGCAGUGUGCCUCGUAGUGCGAGGGCCCCGUAAGGGGACGGAAAGUGCCACAGAAAACAUACCGCCGGGAUUGGGGACUUUGUCCACCCCACAUGGAGCAAGGCCAAAUAGGGAAACGCGGCGUCUUUCGGGGCGCUGAGGACGGCCCGUCCCAGUUUCCGGGUAGGCCGCUUGAGCUUCAGGAAAACCUGAAGCCUAGAUGAAUGAUCGCCACCUGGAUCGCUUCAGGUACAGAAUUCGGCUUAUAGUCUGCCUGCCGAC